CACCAAAAAAAUAAAAUAAAAUAAAGAGAAGAAAAGACCAAUCAGAGUAGCUUCUUGCAAAUGUAGGUUUAACAGAUUCAAUAGUAAAUUCUCAGUGAAACGGCAUUUCAGUAUAUUGCAAAACAUUCAUUAUUACACCAAAAAGCAAUGUAAUCUUGACUACUU